rnacentral:misc_RNA from 1 species
UUAGUGAGGCCUCCUGACUGGCGCCGAUGCUCUGGCAACAGAGCGCCGGAUGCCGGAAAGUUGGUCAAACUUGAUCAUUUAGAGGAAGUAAAAGUCGUAACAAGGUUUCCGUAGGUGAACCUGCGGAAGGAUCAUUACCGAUAGAUAUUAUCCAAGACAUCAUGGUUUGUUGUCCUGUGAACUGUACCAAAUCAUUUAGGGGUCGGCCGUUGUUAACAGGCCGUUAAAUGGCGAUGGGACGCACAGCGUGGCGGCCUCGUCGCCGGCCCCGCCGGUGUUUUGUUGUUUUAAAACAACCAACGUACGUGUUGAUAUCGUCUGAUGUUAUAUAGUUGAGAGAAAAAAAAAAGAAAAGACAACUUGUGGCGGUGGAUCUCUUGGCUCGCGCGUCGAUGAAGAACGCAGCCAGCUGCGAUAAGUAGUGUGAAUUGCAGAAUUCAGUGAAUCAUCGAAUCUUUGAACGCAAAUGGCGCUCUUGGGUUGUCCCAGGAGCAUGUCUGUCUGAGUGUCAUGAUGUUAAAAAAACUCGCAGCAGCACCAACCGUGUUGCUUGCGGCGGCGUUGAGGCGUCACGGCCACAUUGCCGUGUCCCUUGAAAGGCAGAGAGGAGACUCGCUGCUUUGCACAGCGGAGGCCAAAAGUCAGUCAGACCUUCGCGAUGCGAUGCACGACAAUGCGAGUCGCCAGCAAGGCGAAAAACACUACUGUGUGACCUCAGAUCAGGCAAGGCUACCCGCUGAAUUUAAGCAUAU